rnacentral:rRNA from 1 species
UACGGAGGGUGCGAGCGUUAUCCGGAAUUACUGGGUUUAAAGGGCGCGUAGGCGGAUCUUUUAAGUCGGGGGGUGAAAGCCCAGGGCUCAACCCUGGAAUUGCCUUCGAUACUGGAGAUCUUGAGACCGGAAGAGGUAAGUGGAACUGCGAGUGUAGAGGUGAAAUUCGUAGAUAUUCGCAAGAACACCAGUGGCGAAGGCGGCUUACGUGGUCCGGUUCUGACGCUGAGGCGCGAAAGCGUGGGGAGCAACAGGAUUAUACCCCGA